GCGGAGGGAUCAUUACCGAGUUUACAACUCCCAAACCCCUGUGAACAUACCUAUUGUUGCUUCGGCGGGAUCGCCCCGGCGCCCUCGGGCCCGGACCCAGGCGCCCGCCUGAGGACCCAAACUCUUGUCUUUCAUGAGUAUCUUCGGAGUAAACAUAAGCAAAAUAAAUCAAAACUUUCAACAACGGAUCUCUUGGUUCUGGCAUCGAUGAAGAACGCAGCGAAAUGCGAUAAGUAAUGUGAAUUGCAGAAUUCCGUGAAUCAUCGAAUCUUUGAACGCACAUUGGCCCGCCAGUAUUCUGGCGGGCAUGCCUGUUCGAGCGUCAUUUCAACCCUCAAGCCCCCGGGCUUGGUGUUGGGGAUCGGCCCGCCCGCCGCGGCGCGCCGGCCCCGAAAAUCUAGUGGCGGUCUCGCUGUAGCCCUCCUCUGCGUAGUAGCACACCUCGCACCGGAACGCAGCCUGGCCACGCCGUUAAACCCCCCACUUCUGAAGGUUGACCUCGGAUCAGGUAGGAAUACCCGCUGAACUUAAGCAUAUCAAUAA
rnacentral:rRNA from 1 species